rnacentral:rRNA from 1 species
UACGAAGGGGGCUAGCGUUGCUCGGAAUCACUGGGCGUAAAGCGCACGUAGGCGGAUCUUUAAGUCAGGGGUGAAAUCCUGGAGCUCAACUCCAGAACUGCCUUUGAUACUGGGGAUCUUGAGUUCGGGAGAGGUGAGUGGAACUGCGAGUGUAGAGAUGAAAUUCGUAGAUAUUCGCAAGAACACCAGUGGCGAAGGCGGCUCACUGGCCCGAUACUGACGCUGAGGCACGAAAGCGUGGGGAGCAAACAGG